UACGAAGGGGGCUAGCGUUGCUCGGAAUUACUGGGCGUAAAGCGCGCGUAGGCGGCUUGACAAGUCGAGUGUGAAAUCCCCGGGCUUAACCUGGGAGCUGCAUUCGAAACUGUCUUGCUAGAGUAUGGGAGAGGGAGGUGGAAUUUCAGGUGUAGCGGUGAAAUGCGUAGAUAUCUGAAGGAACAUCAGUGGCGAAAGCGACUUCCUGGACCAAUACUGACGCUCAUGUGCGAAAGCGUGGGGAGCAAACAGG
rnacentral:rRNA from 1 species